GGGGGGUGGGGGGGCUGUAGGGCCGGUGGUGGCCGGGUUGGCCAAUGGGGGGCGGUGGGGGUGAGGCUGCGGGGUGCUCUGGUGGCCGUAAAGGCCAAUGGAUGGCCAACAGUUAAGCAGUGGUUGAGCAAAGGUUGAGCAGUGGUUACCCAUGAGGCAGCAGUGUGCCCUGGUGGCCUAAAAGAGCAAUGGUUGACCAGUAGUUGACCAGCAGCUCAUCUGUAGUUGACCAAUGGUUGCCCAUGUGGCAGCAGUGUGCCCUGGUGGCCAAGAAGACCAGUAGUUGACUAAUAGUGGAACAGUGGUUGACCAACAGUGGCCCAUGAGGCAGCCGUGUGCCUUGGUGGCCAAAAAGAGCAAUGGUUGCCCAGUAGUUGACCAGCAGCUGACCAGUAGUUGACCACAGGUUGCCCAUGAGGCUGCAGUGUGCCCUGGUGGCCAAAAAGACCCAUGGUUGACCAGUGGUUGACCAACAGUUCAUCUGUAGUUGACCAAUGGUUGCUCACGAGGCAGCAGUAUGGCCUGGUUGCCAAGAAGAGCAAUGGUUGACCAGUAGUUGACCAUCAGUUCAUCUGUAGUGGCCAAAAAGAUCCAUGGUUGACCAAUAGUUGACCAGCAGUUCAUCAGUAGUUGACCAAUAGUUGCCCAUUAUGCUGCUCUGUGCCCUGGUGGCCAUAAAGACCCAUAGUUGACCAGUGGUUGACCAGCAGUUCAUCAGUAGUUGACCAAUGGUUGCUCACGAGGCAGCAGUGUGCCCUGGUUGCCAAGAAGACCAGUAGUUGACUAAUAGUGGAACAGUGGUUGACCAACGGUGGCCCAUGAGGCUGCAGUGUGCCCUGGUGGCCAAAAAGACCCAUGGUUGACCAGUAGUUGACCAGCAGCUCAUCUGUAGUGGCCAAAAAGAUCCAUGGUUGACCAAUGGUCAACCAACAGUUCAUCUGUAGUUGACCAAUGGUUGCCCAUGAGGAGCAGUGUGCCCUGGUGGCCAAAAAGACCCAUAGUUGACCAGUGGUUGACCAGCAGUUCAUCAGUAGUUGACCAAUGGUUGCUCUUGAGGCAGCAGUGUGCCCUGGUGGCCAAAAAGACCCAUGGUUGACCAAUGGUUGACCAGCAGUUCAUCAGUAGUUGACCAAUGGUUGCCCAUGUGGCAGCAGUGUGCCCUGGUGGCCAAGAAGACCAGUAGUUGACUAAUAGUGGAACCGUGGUUGACCAACGGUGGCUCAUGAGGCAGCACUGUGCCCUGGUGGCCAAAAAGACCCAUGGUUGACCAGUAGUUGACCAACAGUUCAUCUGUAGUGGCCAAAAAGAUCCAUGGUUGACCAAUGGUCAACCAACAGUUCAUCUGUAGUUGACCAAUGGUUGCCCACGAGGCAUCAGUGUGCCCUGGUGGCCAAAAAGACCCAUGGUUGACCAGUAGUUGACCAGCAGUUCAUCAGUAGUUGACCAACAGUUGCUCACGAGGCAGCAGUGUGCCCUGGUGGCCUAAAAGAGCAAUGGUUGACCAGUGGUUGACCUACAGUUCAUCAGGAGUUGACCAAUGGUUGCCCAUGAGCCAGCAGUGUGCUCUGGUGGCCAUGAAGGCCAAUGGCUCCCUGGGCUGCACGGCACAGAGCGUGGGCUGCAGGGUGAGAACGCUUCUCCUCCCCUCUGCUCUGCGCUGGGGGGGCCACAGCUGCAGCGCUGGGCUCCCCAGCUCUGAGCCAUGCAGAUCCUGCUGGAAGAUGCCUUAAGGCCCACGCAUGAUGAGCUGCACGUGAUGAGCAGCAGAGGAAGCACUGAGCGUUGCAGCUCAUCCUGCAGCAGCAGAGGAGGCACUGAGCGUUGCAGCUCAUCCUGCAGCAGCAGAGGAGGCACUGAGCGUUGCAGCUCAUCCUGCAGCAGCAGAGGAGGCACUGAGCGUUGCAGCUCAUCCUGCAGCAGCAGAGGAGGCACUGAGCGUUGCAGCUCAUCCUGCAGCAGCAGAGGAAGCACUGAGCGUUGCAGCUCAUCCUGCAGCAGCAGAGGAGGCACUGAGCGUUGCAGCUCAUCCUGCAGCAGCAGAGGAGGCACUGAGGGUUGCAGCACCUCUUGGAGCCCUGCGGCCGACGCGCAGCGUGUUGACGAGCCGUCCCUUUUGGGGACGAGAGCCGGGAUGCUGCCCUUCCCCUUCUGGCCAGGAGAUGUCCUGCUCGGCCUGCACAGCGUUCCUGCUGCUGCUGGGAACCGCUGCCGGCUGUGCCAGCUUGGUUUCCAUAGCUGUUGGCCCAGAUGCUCCCCGGGUGCGAUGCUUCCCCUCUGCUCCAGCCAGACCCCCCCCACGGUUAUGAGCCCUGCAUGCGUUGAGCAUCAGCCCCACGUUACUCCCAGCCCAGCGCCAACGGCGGGGCUGCCCUGAGUCAGCCAGCAAGCAGCUUUGGAGUAAUAAAUCCUUCCCAACCUGCGUUGUUUGACUCUCCGAGCAUCUCCUAACUCAUCUUCUCUCCUUUGCUUUCAGAAGAUGCUCUGCUGGAAGCCGCGAGGAUCAACAACGUUUCGGAAGUCAACAGGUGAGCAGAGCCCUGGAGGCGCCUGAGAGAGCUUUUUGGUGGCCUGGAAGCUCGCACGGGAUGGGGGCAGAGGCUCCCCUCCGCUGUGCCCCCCACACUGCUGCAGGGAGGAGGAGGAGAUCCCCACGGCCAGAGCUGCUCCUUGCAGCCGUGGGCGGUGCUCGGAGGAAGCAGCGUGGCUCCGUGCAGCCCAGGGCUGAGCUCUGGCCUGGAUCAAGGGCUGAACAGGGGAUAUUGGCGUGCAGCUAAUUGGCACGCGGGUUCUGCUGCUCGUAAUUGCAGGAAGCUGCUGCUCAACGACGUCUGGGUGAUGGGUGAGCCUGCCCGGGCAGAGCAGCAGCAGGGAUGCUCCGUGCCCCCCAUGCUCAGGGUGGGGAGCGCAGUGCGUGUGUUCCAGCUGGGAAGCAGCUGCCAGGACCUGGUUUUUUCCAUGCUGCACAGACUGG
rnacentral:lncRNA from 1 species